UAAAUGAAAGCCAAAGCAGAGGCAUCUAGCUGUUAAUUAGAAGACUGUAGAAGUACUACUCAUUUAA
rnacentral:tRNA from 1 species